AUUACUUCAUACACAGCGAAAUAAGAGUGUAUACAAAUGCCAUGUAUAUCAUGUGAAAAGUAUUUUUAUAAGCUAUUUUUCGUAUAAUAUAACUGGGGUCAAAUCGUUGCAGGGACCAAAAUAAAACCAUUUAAUGAGUUAAUUAAUUGUAGUUAAUUACGCCGUAACUUUUCUACUCAACGCCAGAUGUCGCUCUAAAGCAAAAUUCUACUUGACGUAAAACAUUUAUACAUAGCGGUAAUCUCGUCAGUCUUACUCCAUCAUUUUAAAAAGUAUAGACUAGUUUAUGGAUUUCUAAAGUUAUGUCAAGAUGACUCUGAAUGUAAUAUUGUCAACAAUAAUUGUCAAAACACGCAAUUUAAAAUAUUCAACAUUGUAAUUACAAAAUAGUAUAUUUCUAAUACGCUAUAAUUUUCUCCAAUCGAAAGGCACUCCAUUCCAUUGAUCUCAGAGAGUAUGCUCCUUGAUGAUCUUCACUAUUCAUGGGGUAGCAUUUUUAAGUUGUUCAUCGGACACUGAGGCCAUUGAAGUUUCAAGCUGGCGGCAUCAAAAUGGAGUACCUAGGUACUGUUUCAAAUAAAUGGGUGGUAAGUAAAUACAUUUGGUGAAGUGGAACUGCUGAUGUUGAUCAGAAACGGAACUCUUCCACGCGCGUGAUUUGUCUUCUUUGUUAAGUUUGUAGCGAGUAAGUUUCAAGUACCAAGGUUUUUAGGAACCUUUGUGUCAAGGUAAUAGUCUGACGAUGGGUUCCAUGAGGAAGCGAGGGAACACCUCAAAUCUUAUAGGCAUAUAGUCAUUUUGGAUUUUCAUCAAUACCUUAAGCUUUUUCAUUCCCACUAGUGGCAUUUAAUGAAGUGGAACUACUGAUGGUGACCAAAACGGAACUCUUGAACGCGCGAGAUUUUUCUUCUUUUUUUUUAUGAUAUAAGAGGCAAACGAGCAGACGUCACACCUGAUGGUAAGCGAUUACCUCCGCCCAUGGACACCUGCUAAACCAUAGGGGUUGUAAGUUCAGUGCUGGCCUUUAAGAUUGGAAUACGCUGUUUUCUUAAAGUUUUAAAUGUCGUAUUGGUCCGGAAAUACCGCAGGCGACAGAUCAUUUCAUAGUUUAGCUGUAUGAGGCAGGAAGUUUCUAGAGAAAUGCACAGUUGAGGACUGCCAACCAUCUAAGUGGUGAAAAUAAAAAUGUAGCGUAGAGCGAUGACGAAAAGAGGCGGCAAGGAUUAAUCCGAGCAAUUCGAUGGAACACUCGCCGUAAUAGAUUUGUCCUGAUAAGUUUGUAGAAAGUAAGGUUGUUAAGAAACAUCUGUGUCUAGAUCCAGGUCUCAUAGAUACCUCAAACCUUAUAGAAAUACAUAUAGUUUUUUUUGGAUUUACAUCAAUAUCCUUAGGCGUUUUAUUUAAAAAAAAGCUAGAUUUAAUCAAGUGAAACUGCUGAUGUGUUCCAGAACGGAACUUUUCAACGCACACGUUUUGUAUUCUUUAUUAAGCUUGUAGUGAGUAAGGUUCUUAAGGUGUACUUAAUACAUCAAUGUCCAGUUCUGAUGAUGGGUUUCAUGAAGAAUCGAGAGAAUUCCUAAAAUCUUUUAGGCAUACAUGUAAUAAUUUCUGGGAUUUUAUUUACAUAUCAAGCAUUAUUAUUAAAUAAAGUGUCAUUUGACUAGAAGUAACAGCUGAUGUUGACCAGAAUGAAACUCGCCAACUCGCGCGCGAUUUGUUUUAUUAGUUAAGUUUGUAGCAAGUAAGUUUUAAGUAUUAAGGUUUUUAGGAACAUUUGUGUCAAGGUAAAGGUCUGAUGAUGGGUCCCAUGAAGAAUCGAGGGAAUUUCUUAAAUGCUAUAGGCAUAUAUGUAGUACUUAUUGGAUUUUCAUCAAUAUAUUAUCAACUUUUAUUCACAAAAGUGACAUUUGAUGAUGUGGAACUACUGAUGUUGACCAGAACGGAACUCCAAAGCGUGCAAUUUUUCUUCGUUAAGUUUGUAGCAAGUAAGGUUCUUAAGAAACAUUUUUGUCAAAGUACAGUUCUGAUGAUGGGUUUCAUGAAGAAUCGAGGGAAUUCCUAAAAUCUUUUAGGCAUACAUGUAAUAAUUUCUGGGAUUUUAUUUACAUAUCAAGCAUUAUUAUUAAAAAAAGUGUCAUUUGACUAAAAGUAACAGCUGAUGUUGACCAGAAUGGAACUCGCCAACUCGCGCGUGAUUUGUUUUAUUAGUAAGUUUUAAGUAUUAAGGUUUUUAGGAACGUUUGUGUCAAGGUAAAGGUCUGAUGAUGGGUCCCAUGAAGAAUCGAGGGAAUUUCUUAAAUGCUAUAGGCAUAUAUGUAGUACUUAUUGGAUUUUCAUCAACAUAUUAUCAAGUUUUAUUCACAAAAGUGACAUUUGAUGAUGUGGAACUACUGAUGUUGACCAGAACGGAACUCCAACGCGUGCAAUUUUUCUUCGUUAAGUUUGUAGCAAGUAAGGUUCUUAAGAAACAUUUUUGCCAAAGUACAGUUCUGAUGAUGGGUUUCAUGAACAAUCGAGGGAAUUCCUAAAAUCUUAUAGGCAUACAUGUAAUAAUUUCUGGGAUUUUAUUUACAUAUCAAGCAUUUUAUUAAAAAAUUGUCAUUUGACUAAGUGUAACAGCUGAUGUUGGCCAGAAUGGAACUCGCCAACUCGCGCGCGAUUUGUUUUAUUAGUUAAGUUUGUAGCAAGUAAGUUUUAAGUACUAAGGUUUUUAGGAACAUUUGUGUCAAGGUAAAGGUCUGAUGAUGGGUCCCAUGAAGAAUCGAGGGAAUUUCUUAAAUGUUAUACAUAUUAUCAAGUUUUAUUCACAAAAGUGACAUUUGAUGAUGUGGAACUACUGAUGUUGUCCAGAACGGAACUCCAACGCGUGCAAUUUUUCUUCGUUAAGUUUGUAGCAAGUAAGGUUCUUAAGAAACAUUUUUGUCAAAGUACAGUUCUGAUGAUGGGUUUCAUAAACAAUCGAGGGAAUUCCUAAAAUCUUAUAGGCAUACAUGUAAUUAUUUCUGGGAUUUUAUUUACAUAUCAAGCAUUAUUAUUAAAAAAAGUGUCAUUUGACUAAAAGUAACAGCUGAUGUUGACCAGAAUGGAACUCGCCAACUCGCGCGCGAUUUGUUUUAUUAGUUAAGUUUGUAGCAAGUAAGUUUUAAGUACUAAGGUUUUUAGAAACAUUUGUGUCAAGGUAAAGGUCUGAUGAUGGGUCCCAUGAAGAAUCGAGGGAAUUUCUUAAAUGUUAUACAUAUUAUCAAGUUUUAUUCACAAAAGUGACAUUUGAUGAUGUGGAACUACUGAUGUUGACCAAAACGGAACUCCAACGCGCGCAAUUUUUCUUCGUUGUUAAGUUUGUAGCGAGUAAGGUUCUCAAGAAACAUUUUUGUCGAAGUACAGUUCUGAUGAUGUGUUUCAUGAGAAAGCGAGGGAACUCCUCAUUCUCCUCAAUUCUUAUAGGCAUAUAGUCAUUUUGGAUUUUCAUCAAUAUCUUUAGCUUUUUUCAUUCACAUUAGUGGCAUUUGAUGAAGUGGAACUAGUGAUGUUGACUAAAAUGGAACUCUUCAACGCGUGAGAUUUUUUCUUUUUUUGUUUGUUGUGAUAUAAGAGGCAAACUAGCAGACGAAUCAACUGAUGGUAAGCAAUUACCGCUGGCCAUGGACAUCUGUUACACCAUAGGGAUUGUAAGUGCGGUGCCGGCAUUUAAGAUAGGAAUACGCUCUUUCCUUAAAGUUUUAAAGAUCGUAUUGGGCCGGAAAUACCGCAUGCGACAGAUCAUUUCAUAGUUUAGCUGUAUGAGGCAGGAAGUUUCUAGAGAAAUGCACAGUUGAGGAUUGCCAACCAUCUAAGUGGUGAAGAUAUAAAUGAUGUAGCGUAAAGCGGUGACGGAAAGAGGCGGCAGAGAUUAAUCCGAACAAUUCCUCGGAACUU